AUUCGGGAUUGACAACGGUGACCGAAAUAAUGGCUGUGCCGGAGAAUUUGGGAUUGACAACGGUGACACUGCCGGGGAAUUCGCUGCCACCAAGCCAUGAGGAACGGCUGGUGGGAGAAAGGGAUGUGUUUCAUGUCAGCUCUUAAUCUUCAACUGAUGCAGAUUUAAUUAAGAUUAUAAUGGAGACAAUUAUCAGCGCGCCGAUCUUUAGCUAUGCGAACGGGAAGGAUAAUGUUGACAAUUCACUACAAUUUCAAAACCAGAUCAGACGACGACGGAGACUUGAAGUCGACGAGCAAUGAGCAACAACCACCAGACGAGCGUAGAAGGGACUCCAUCACCAGCAACGAGCGCUCCGUUCUAAACAAAACGCAUAGGUCGACUCCAACAGAGAAACGA